rfam:Lupinus angustifolius cultivar Tanjil chromosome LG20, whole genome shotgun sequence.
GAUAACUGGCUUGUGGCAGCCAAGCGUUCAUAGCGAUGUUGCUUUUUGAUCCUUCGAUGUCGGCUCUUCCUAUCAUUGUGAAACAUAAUUCACCAAGUGUUGGAUUUUUCACGCUCCAAUAGGUCCCUAUGGAUUUGGGCGGUUAUCUUUUAUGUU